rnacentral:rRNA from 1 species
CUGGUUGAUCCUGCCAGAGGUUACUGCUAUCGAGGUUCGACUAAGCCAUGCGAGUCGAAUGUAGCAAUACAUGGCGAACUGCUCAGUAACACGUGGACAACCUGCCCUUAGGUUGGGUAUAAACCCGGGAAACUGGGUAUAAUACCCGAUAGGUCUCGAUUGCUGGAAUGCAUCGAGAUUUAAAGCUCCGGCGCCUAAGGAUGGGUCUGCGGCCUAUCAGGUAGUAGUGGGUGUAGCGUACCUACUAGCCUACGACGGGUACGGGUUGUGAGAGCAAGAGCCCGGAGAUGGAUUCUGAGACACGAAUCCAGGCCCUACGGGGCGCAGCAGGCGCGAAAACUUUACAAUGCGGGCAACCGUGAUAAGGGAACCUCGAGUGCCUGUACAUGCAGGCUGUUCGGGUGUCUAAAACACACCUGAAGAAAGGGCCGGGCAAGACCGGUGCCAGCCGCCGCGGUAAUACCGGCGGCUCGAGUGGUGGCCACUUUUAUUGGGCUUAAAGCGUUCGUAGCUGGGUUGUUAAGUCUCUUGGGAAAUCUGACGGCUCAACCGUCAGGCGUCUAAGGGAUACUGGCAAUCUUGGAACCGGGAGAGGUGAGGGGUACUUCGGGGGUAGGAGUGAAAUCCUGUAAUCCUCGAGGGACCACCUGUGGCGAAGGCGCCUCACCAGAACGGCUUCGACAGUGAGGGACGAAAGCUGGGGGAGCAAACCGGAUUAGAUACCCGGGUAGUCCCAGCCGUAAACGAUGCGCGUUAGGUGUAUCGGUGACCACGAGUCACCGAGGUGCCGAAGGGAAACCGUGAAACGUGCCGCCUGGGAAGUACGGUCGCAAGGCUGAAACUUAAAGGAAUUGGCGGGGGAGCACCACAACGGGUGGAGCUUGCGGUUUAAUUGGAUUCAACGCCGGG